AUCACCUUGGAGCUCUUGUUAAAAUGCAGAUUCUGAUUCAGUAGGAGUGAGGAGAGGCGUGAGAUUCUGCAUUUUUAACAAGCUGUCCUGUGAAGCUGC
rnacentral:pre_miRNA from 1 species